AUGGGUGGAAGUCUGCAGCAUGGAAUUUGCUUAAAAGGAGCUGACUUUUGGGAUAUGCACUGUGGGAAUCCAGAACUCAGUGCAAGGCAGGAGGGAUUAAAGUGUUUGCCAGUCUCUGCACUGUGCCUAUGACUUCAGCUGAACUGCAGUUUCAACUGUACAGUACAGUACAUUUCAUACAGUACAACUGUAUGCUCAUGAAAAUCACAUACACAUCAAACUUCUGUACUAUCCAGAAAUGUUCCCUGAGAUUAAGCCAAAUCCACACCCACAUGACAUUUAAUUACAACAAAUUAUUCAUAGAUGGAUUCAUAGAUGUUAAAGUCAGAAAGAAAUCCUGCAAGCCUCAACCCUGACAUCCUGGAUAACACGGGAUAGUCAGGCUGUGAUGAUCAGACUUAGAUUCACAUGACCAUUAAAACAAAAGGAGCAUGGAGUUCAGUGAGAUGAUGUAUUUUUAGUAUAUACGUGAUUGCUUUUUUGUCAUAUUGUCAAAUUGUCAUGGAAAAUACUGUCACUGAUGAAAAGCUCUUGAUUUUCAAGGACUGUUUACUGAAGUUGGUCCAGGGACAGCUGUAGCACAGUCAGCAUUUAAUCACAGCAGUGGAUUGCUGGGGUGAAAAAAUGUCCAUGACCUCGCGAUUUACCUUUCCCGUGCUCUAGGAGCUGUUAAGCAUCCCUGCUUAAGCGUUCUGGAGGUGACUGCCAGAACUGAUGCAGCAGCAGCUGUGGCUCAGGGAACCACUGCCACCUCUCAGCAAUGACAGCCACUCCACAGCUUCCCCAGUUCAUGGUAAGAGUCUCAAACCUGUGGCCUUCUGCCUCCUUCUCUCUCACCAUUCCUCUUCCACAAUGCAAGCAUCUUGAUCCAAGUCAGGAACAUGAUCCUUGCCUACAAUGCAGAGAAAGCAAUAAGAGCCUCUGCUUCUAAGAAGCGUUCAGACAGCUCUGAGAAAGGAAUAUUACACUUAGAUCCUUGAAAUUCAUAAAACUUGUCUUUAGAUUGCUGACAGGAGCCCCUAGACUUUGUAUUAAUCAUUAUUUAUCAAUAAUCCCAAACCAAAUCUAUAGGAACAAAAAUUCCUUUUUAAUCCCCACGAAGUAAUGUCAGGCAGAUUUCCAGUAUACUUGGUGUUUUGCUUCCUAUUGCCCUUAGGUGAAGCACAUAAGGACAAGAAUCACUCAUGUCACCAACCAAAGGACUCAGAGGAGCUCUUUAGCUCAUUUUUACUGCAUGCAGAGAUUUAUAACACUCCAUGUAUCAGCCAUUAGAAUUUAUAGUGUGCUGUAAGGCAAAUUGAGACAUUUAUUUAAAUACAUCAAGAGCCUACCACGUAUGUCUGUGAGAUAUUUCCCUCACGGACAGGUACCUAUCUGUUGAAAAACAUGUAAAGCCCUGGAUCUGUGAGGAUUUUUGGUUGGUUUCACUCCCUGUUGGGGUUUUCUCUGAAGUGGUCUCUUGGUCUUGGUACAUGAUGUUUCUGGUGUAUAGCUCUUUUAAGUGAAUGUACAUUCUGAUGCAUAUAUUGUAAAAGUCAACUUUUCACCGGAGGCAUGUGUUUCUAGGCACAAUCUGGGGUUUGGAAAUAGCUAGGGCUACAUGCUGGAAGUGAGGCCAGCUUUCUGUGGCAUGCUGCCACAUCUUUUUUGAUUAGGAAGUUAACAGCUGGAUAACUUCUGAAAACAGGAAGGUAUGACAGCAAAACUUUAUUUCAAUUAAAUAGCUCCCAUAUAAACACAGGAAUUCCACUGUCAUCCCCACUUCUUAUCCUCAGCAGGUUUUGCAAGGACAGACUGGCUGGGUGACAGGUCCAGUGGCUCUGUGCUAGCCACAGGUCGCUGUGAGCAGGUCUCUUACCUAGUUCAGCUGGCAGCUGAAAGAAAUAAUCUGAAAAGUCACAUCACAUUCAGUUUUAGCAGAAUUUACUAUUCCUCUGUGGAACUAGUGAUUCGAAAAAAGUUUUCAUGGAGACCUAAGGAAAAGCUUCUAACACAGGAAUUGUCUUGUACACAAAAUGGCUGCCAGCUCCCCUCACUGCCAGUGGUUUGGAAUCAACAAAAUGGCCACCCUGUCCCCUCACAGUGUGCAAGAACAGGCAGAAGAGAGGAUUAGAAAAAUAAAGGAAAAGGAAGCAGGGAAAGAGACAGAAACAAGUAUUCUGCUGAAGGAAUUCAUCUGGCUGAGGGCGCUAAAUGAGCUGCUGCAAGGAAGCUGAGUAAAGACAGAGAUGGAAAGUGGUUUGAAUGCCUCUGAAUGAAGAUAUGCCGAAGGGAACCUGUCCAUAGCAGGCAUUAUCUUUAUAUAUGCUUAUAUAUAUAUGGCCGCUUCCCAUAUAUAUAUAAUU